rnacentral:rRNA from 1 species
AGCGAACGCUGGCGGCAGGCUUAACACAUGCAAGUCGAACGGGCGUAGCAAUACGUCAGUGGCAGACGGGUGAGUAACGCGUGGGAAUCUACCCAGUUCUACGGAACAACUCAGGGAAACUUGAGCUAAUACCGUAUACGCCCCCCUUUGGAGACAUUGGGGGGGAAAGAUUUAUCGGAAUUGGAUGAGCCCGCGUUGGAUUAGCUAGUUGGUGGGGUAAUGGCCCACCAAGGCGACGAUCCAUAGCUGGUCUGAGAGGAUGAUCAGCCACAUUGGGACUGGGACACGGCCCAAACUCCUACGGGAGGCAGCAGUGGGGAAUAUUGGACAAUGGGCGAAAGCCUGAUCCAGCCAUGCCGCGUGAGUGAUGACGGCCUUAGGGUUGUAAAGCUCUUUCACCGGUGAAGAUAAUGACGGUAACCGGAGGAGAAGCCCCGGCUAACUUCGUGCCAGCAGCCGCAGUAAGAC